GUUAAUACUUGGUCCAACAGAAAAAGCUUUACUUAGUGUGGAAAUCUGCUUCAUCCUAGUAGGGGUUAACUUACCUCUUGCUGCUAGCUGAAAGGUAAUGAAGAGAAAUGGGUUAACCAUGAGACUGUGCACAUCUGUGAUGUAAUCAAACCAGAAGUGGAUUAUAGGUAUCUGCUUUGCAAGAGGUGAGGGUAAAAAAAGAAGACAGCUUGUUUGGGGAGGAAGUCAGAAGCAUGUCUUUCUGGAAAGCUUUUCCAUAUCGCUUUGGAUCAAAGACAACAGAUUCAUGUGGACAGUAGGUGUGGUUGGUCUACUAAAGAAUUACAGCUUUCCAGUGCCAGCUCAAACACUGAAGAUUCCCUGCCACCAUAAAGCUAUAAUUGCUGAAUUAAUAACAGGAGGUUUUGGAGAGUGACUGCACAGAAUCUCUGACCCAGCCACAAUGAUUUUGCCAUGUGAAGGAGAACUCCUGGAAUGGAAGUUGAUUUGGACAAUUUAUCUGACAGAGACAGUGGGACUUCAGCUUGAGAACCUGGAUGAACCCAAGUGAAGAUUCACUUUAUUUAGACUAAACCUAGAAAAACAUCUCUACCUGGACUCACUAUGGCAGGGAUGAGAACAGCAUUACCUGAACCCAGAUUCUUCUGCACUUCACAAAGUUAUGCACCCUGUUCUACAUUGCUCCAAGUUCAGAAAGUUGACAACUUUUAUGCCUCUUCAUGCUCUGUAAAGUAUUAAAGGACAGCCAGUGCUGCUUUUGAUAUGAAAACAUAGAGUUAACUGAAAUAUUGCUACAGCUACAUUUCAAAGAAAAAUGAAGCAAUCUGAGGUCUUUGGUGCUCUUCAGAUUUGCACCAUUUCAGGGCUAAGUGCUAUAAACAUCUAUGUGAAGGCACACAGUGAGGAUGGGCAUUACUGUGGCUCUUGGAAUGCAUGCAUAAGAAAUUAUUAACGUGGGACUUGGCUGCUGCAGGGCCACAGGACAGGCUGGACUGCACUGACUCCAGAGGCAGUUCUCAUGAAGAACUGAAGUGUCCGGGCACUCAGAAAACAAGGAGAGCCAUUGCUGGGCAGGGAAUGGAGAGAUGAGAGCUUGGGCAGAGGGAACCAGUGUGGACUGGCUGGGGAGCAUGAAAAUGGGCUAUGGAAAUGCAAGGUGAUUUGAAGCCCAAGGACAUUCAGUAAGAACCUUCCUAUUGAACAGAGGGCUUCUGCCCCCUAAACAAAACCCAUAUAUUUUAGGUUUUUUAAAUACUGCUUUGCUUAAUCUUCCAUUGCCAUAGUGUGGCAUCUUUAUACAAAGUUGUUUGUAUUGGGGUUGGAUUUGGUUGUGGUUUGUUUUUUUUUUAGAUCUUUAAUAAAGAGAAUAUAAAGACAUAAUAGAAAUAUUUUUCUUCUCCCCCUACCUAGCCUUUUGUUAUUUAAAAGCACUUUAUGAUUCAGGACAGUAUCCACACUACAGUGAGAAUUUCAUAGAUUAAGAUAUCCCCAGACAGCUAAUAUUUUACCUUUUUUAGAAUGCAAUUCUUAUUCAUGGAGCUUAAAAGAUCUCUUAAUUCUGUGGUCACUAUGAAGAAGUACCUAUGGAGCAUUUAAAAAUGCAGUAACAAUUACUAAAUAGAAUAGGAGGCUGAGUUAGAGGAUAGUGGUCAUCACUGUCAUCAUGUGCUGUUGAUGGAUUACUGGAUUGUGCUUGCUGAAAACGUGCUACUGCGUUAGCAUAAUGUGAUAUGGAAUAUCCUGUUAUGCAAUAAGAGUGAUCUUGCAGUUUGGAAAGAUUUUGGGUAAGACUUCCUGCUGGAAUAAAUACUCAUCACUCUGUUGAAGUCAUUGCAGCUGUUAUAAUUCAAAUGGGCUGAGAUUUGUUCCCUUGUCUUGAAGCAGACAAGGACAAAGUAAUGCCUAAUGUUAGGGCAGCAUUCAGCACAUGUUUGAAGUUGAGCAGAAAGGAGCUUUAUGCUGAAUUUCUGAGCAGGAUGUUUUUUUCCUUUGUGCUCUGUCUUGAACUGUUUGCAAUGUAAAACUUGUGUCCCAGUGCAUGGCUGGGAUUUCCCUGUGAGCAAUGUCUGGGGCUGGCAUCUGUCUGAUUGUUUUAACCUUAUCAACAACACAUGGUGGAAAACUUUUUGUCCUAUUCUGGAAAAAGGUGCCAUUCCAUAGCAAGUUAGCUCAGCCAAAGUAAUUUAACUGGACUAUACACAGAUAAGUAAGUUUGGCAUUUUUAGCCUAAUUUAAAGACAGCAGAUUUUGUGCAGGCAUUUUAAGUUAUCUGAUGAGCCACUGAGAUGAAAUAUCAUAAAGAUACAUAACUGAGGCUGAGAAAAGACUCAAUAGCAGUGGGGUGUAUUGUACAAUGUGAAAAGGAUGUUUAUACCCAAACAUCACACGCACAACUGAACAUGAAUUCACAUUAGAUCAACUUGAACUUCAAACAUAUAUUUAUUAGGUACAGAUUGAACAACUGCUUUUUAGGUAGUGAAGUACUGAUAUCACAAAGGUUUUAAUCUGAUGAAAUAUCUGACUUCUAAAAACCCAAACAUGGCUAAUAUUUUCAGCAGCUUUUUGAACAGCAACACCUGAGCACAGGUGAUGAUACUUAAUAGUCUGUUAUUAUUAAUGUCUUUUUUGGUCUUAUUUCUUUCUGUACCUUUAGUGGCAUGUCAGUUUUGCCAUGACAAGCCCUGUAGAAAUUUGUAACGAGUGAAGCUGAAGACAUGAAUCCACUUCUCUGCUACUGACAUUAUAAUACUUCAUUACAGAGCAUCGACAGAGCAUAUGAGACUCACCAUAUUUGCAGCCUUUGAAAUAAUAUUUAGGUCUACAUAUAGAGGAAAUAAAAUGCCUUAAUUAAUUUUCUGCAUCACUGAGAUGGAGCUUCAGUCAAAUGGGGAAGGCGGAUGUCAGAGCAAGCCAUCCUAGAACCAAGCCUCCAGCACUAUUUGGGAGCAAAAGGUAAAAUGAGACAGUAGAUGAGAUGCAAAUGCUAAUUAUAAGAGCUUUUUGGAUGAGAUAAGCAAAUCUCCUUGUAAUCUUAAAUAAAUCUGAAGCUUUCAUGCUGUGUUCUCACCCCAUCCUGAGUCCAUCAUGCAUUUGCAUUUUAUUUCUGAAAACAUUCCUCACUGCAUUUUGAUGCUUCAGGCAACAGGAGAUGAAAAGACUUUUCUUUAGUGUUAGUUGUUAAAACCCUAAAGGUUAUUUCCUGAAGAUAAGAGGGUGGUCUCUGCCUUCACAAUAGCACAGAUUUUCUUUAAUAUAAACAGACCUGUUUUUAAAGGCUAGCUAGUAAUGAUCCCCUCAAAGAUGUCUGGGUCUUUCAGAGCUAGACCUACAAAUCCAUCACUUGGCUGGAAAAGCUCUUCAUCAGGAACAUGCUCCAAAAAGGAAGACUUGGAGACUGAGUAAUAAUGUGAGUGUGCUAGAGGUAAAGUAAGCAGGGUGGUAUCAUGGGUUUUCGUUGGGCUUUUUUUGUUGUGUUUUCCUUUUUUGCUAUAAGUGGCUGUAUUAUAGCAUGGAUACUACUGAUGGGAUUAAUAUUUCUCAACAGAUUGUAUAUGCAGUGUUAGACUUUCUCAUACUCCAAUUUCCUCAGGAGGCUCUUAUUCCGGUCUGUCUAAACAGUUUAGCAACAUUCAUUAGGCCUCCUGACACCCCAGCUAUUGAUUAAGAGAGCUUUCGAUGCCCACUUCACAGAAGCGGUCAUCCUGAAAUGCAUUUAGUUGAUGAGAAGUGGGCAGAAAGGGCUGAAGUAUCCCAGGUUCCAGGACAGCAACAGACAUCAUAAAGAGGUUAAGAAAAAAUUUCCUUUGCAUAAGGACAAAACUGAAAGUGGUGAUUUUGAAGAGCUUGGAAAUAGAAAGACAUGACAAUAGUCUUCUAAUUCUCAAAAAGUCUGCAAAGAAGGGGUGUCUGAAAUAUUGUCCAAGUCACCAAAGGGGCAAGAAAAGUGCCUGGCUCCACAUGCAGCAAAGGUUUAAAUUAGAGAUUUGGAAAAGCUUCCUAACGAAGGAUACUUAAUUACUGAGUCUGGCUGCUGAGGAAAGUUGUAAAGUCUAAGUUAUAAAGGACCAAUUAGAGUAACGCCUGUCUGGAAUGGGCACAGCAGGAUUCUGCUUCCAUGCAGUGAAAAUGGACUUAAAGUCUCUAUCAUGCUGUGGUGCUAUUUUGUAUCUCCCCAAAACCCCACUCUGGUCCCAAGAUUUCAUUUUUGCUAGACACAUAUGUCCCUAGACUGUAUGCAGGUCGUCUAAGCUCAGCUGUGAGUGCGUUCAGUCUGUCUCACUUCCAUAGCACUAGCCUGUCUGGGAAAAAAAACCACACUGUAAACCUAAAUUAUGUGAGAUCAAAGUCAUCUCAUGAGGAAGUCAUGCAGAUUGAAAUUAAUUUCAUUAUUCUGAGUAGAGCAGCCAGUGUUCCCCAGGGAAAAAUGCAUCUUCUUGCCUCUUGAGCUGGUACCCUAGCUGACCUAGGAAUGUUGGAGAGAGGGUAUUUCCCUACAGUCCUCAGUGAGGUAUGCAAACGUUCUCCUGGU